CUACUACAGGCCGCCAGGCGUUCCUCUCUGUGACGCGCCCCGCCUGCCGUGCGCCGAAAUAUUUUCAGCUAAGUUCGACAAGAACACAUGCGAGUGCCCAAAGUCGUGCUAUUACCCAUACGAGCUGGUUGAGACUGACACAUACCAGACCUCUUCAACGGUGGACCCUAUUGACAGUUUUUACUAUGGCCAAAAUCUGAGCGGUGUCACCAUAGUACGCGUGUUUCUCAAGAGCCACCAGACCAUCACGUUAUUACGCAAGCCUAUCUACAACUUCUGUGAUCUCUUCUCUCAACUUGGUGGCGUCUUCAACGUAUUCUUCGGCUGCAGCAUCCUCAGUAUACUGGAACUGCUCCAACUAGCCUGGCACGCCAACAAGCCGAGAACAGCGCAGAACGGAACAAGAAAGAAGAAGAAGUUCUUCAGUAUCUGCUGUAAGACGAGGGUCAAGGGGGUGGGAAAGAGAAAGGUUAAUAAGGUUACGUUUUUGAAGAAAUCUAAUAAAGUGUUUUAUACGUACGCAGAAUAAAGUUGCAUGGUUCUAUUAAA